UCCUCCAAUUCUCCAAAUUUGCUCAUAUACUCCCUCAAACCUUCUGUAUCCACCUCCCACGGAAUACCCAAAACCACAAGCUUUCGCUCCAUGAGAAACUUGAAGAACAGUUGCUAAAGCGAAAAAGAGAUGGAGAUGGAGAAACCCUAACACUCAAAUUGGUUGAAAAUCGCUCUCUUAGCUCUAGCAGACUCACAAAAAUCUCUCUAUCUCUCUCACACUCCUGGUCG
rnacentral:misc_RNA from 1 species